AUUGUGAUGAAUAAUCAAACAUUUAAUCUCUAUUUUUUUAUUUGGAGAUGUUACAAAGUGUUGCAUGCCGGGACAGCAGAACAUAUUAAAGGCAGAGGAGUGAAGUCUAAUUAUUCCUUUUACUAAGAGGUCACCUUUAUUAUGAGAACCUACAUACUGGGAUUACCUUCCUAAUGUAGUUGCCAUAACUGCAAAAUAAACACGAGGCUACAUUGCUACUAGCUUGCAGAAGUAGUUUAUACCCAGCCAUACAUGUACAGUACAUGUAGGUUUACGGGUUGGUGAAGCAUUUUUCACUAUGAAGUUUUUUCCAYUGAUUUUAAUUUGUAAACACAGGUAGACAUAACCGUAUGGCAAAGGCUGACCCUGGGUGAUAAGGGUGGCUGACCACCACCACCAACCACCCCUCCCUUAACAGCACCUUUAAGGGCUCAAUUUACCAAAAUAAAAAUGAUAUGAAUAAAUAAAUAGAAAGUAAAUCUGAAUGGAAUUACUGAAAGACAACUGAAGCAAAAUUUAUAUGAAAGACAAUUUCAUAUUUUUCUGCAGCCCUAAACCAAUCCAUUGAAUAUUUUUCUGUGUUUGUAAACAUUCUGGAUCUACCAUUGAUGAAACUUUAUUAUACUCAUUUUUACAUCAAUCUGAAAAUUUUCACUGAAUUUUGCACAAGUUAAGAGUAGAAGUCUUAAAAAUGUUUUAAGAGUUCAUAAAAUUUAUUCUUUCUUUAAACUUACCAUUCAUAGCAAGAUUCUUGCAAAGGAGAAAACUUUCAAUCGUAAUUUCAUUUUGGAUUGUUCAUGUUGACUUCAGUUCAAUUCUAUUCAAGUAAGGAUUUUUACGAAAAAUCAGACAGUUGUUUCCUCAUAGCAGCUGGGGGAAUAAUGUGUGCUCCCCAGUGAUAUACAUACAGUAGAAACCAUGGUUUAUUUGCAUUAUCUGCAAGGGAUAUCAUGUCUUUAUUGAGAUUUGUUCUUCUUUCUGAUUACCCUAUAUACUAUAUAUUUUUCUUAUUUAACAACCUUGACUUUUGUAUUCAAGUUUAUUAUGAACUUACAUAUGUAAUUUUUAGGGGUGAUUUUUAGACUUGCAAUGCUAUUUUCAUACUGCAUCUAAAACUCAACUGAGUACAUAAGAUAACAAAUGAUGGAACUUAAUGGUUAUAUCAUUCUUUAUGAAAUUUUGUCAAUCAUUUAAAAAAUGUCUGACUGCAGUCAACAUCCAACUACAUAAUAAUAGUGGUCGAAGAUGAAUGGAAAGAAACCUUGAUUGAAUAUCACUUGAUCAAUUGCAAGYCAAUAAACUGGUCAAGAAGUCAAAA